CAUUUAUCAAGAAUCAAGUUGUGUGACUGCUAUGUCACAUAUGCAUUAGUAGGUGGCAGAGGAGAGAGCCCAUGUCCAACUUUGCUCAAUGUUCUGACCUAUGAACAUCUGAAUGAUUAGUAGCUUAACAUU